CGUACCGGAUGGAGUUCCAAAACCAAGAUCGUAACGCCACUGUGUAUGAACUAGCUUGAGGCGAGGAAAUCUGUGGUUGUCGUCUUCAGAUUCUGGAAGAGCCUCGUCAACUGAUGGAUCAACGCCCGGUUCAAACGAGACGUUCCAAUAGGCGUUAUCGUCCUUAUUGUUACUGACUGUCUUCAUUAGUCGUCGAUCGAGAUCAGCUGGCGUGAAGUUAUUCUUAGUUUCCUCUAAAUUAAGCAACAUUUUUAUAAUAGAAAUACGGAUUAUGGAGAUUUAGGGAGGAAAUAUCAAGGAGGUUAUAACGGCGACGUAGUGAGUGAGUUCAAAUUAAAAGCCAGUGAAAGUUCUAAAUAAAAAAUGGGUGUUUGUAAACGUAAGUUCAGUGACGUUUUUCUCAACACAGACGUCACUCGCAAAUUUGUAUAACUAAUUUUGGAGACAUUUUGCAUCAUAGCCCUCGUAUAAGGAAGCAAAAAGCUUUAAAAAUCCUAUGUUUUGACAUAAGUGUUGAAGAUUACCAAACACUGAUACAAAUACAAUUUUUAUCCAGUCCACUCUCAGCAAUCUGACGUCCAUGUUGACAAAAUAGAGCCUCGUAUUUUUAUCAAUAAAACACAAUUAUAUAAAAAUAGUAAAUUUUCAAUUUAAUCUUAAUCAACUUCGUUCAGACUAUUAAGGGGCCGUUCACACCAAGCACGCAUUGAGAUCGGUUUAUAUUAGAGCGAUCUCAAAGCGAUCCGAGUUCUUGGGAUUUAAAAUGGAGUGUCCACCCUUUAAUAAAAACUUGAAUAAUUUAAUUUAAUUAAUUGAUUUAACUAUCGUGGCGUGGCACAGGGGACGAAGAUGAUGCAUUUUGAAAAUAGGGACUGGGUUUAUGUUAACUAUGGCGGCC